AGCGGGCCGGACGAUCGCGCGCUUCGGCGUGAGGAAAGUCCGGGCUCCCAAGGGCAAGAUGCCAGCUAACGGCUGGGCGGGGCGACCCGACGGAAAGUGCCACAGAAAAGAAGACUCCCCUGCCGCUGCGCGGCCAGGAGAAAAGCUGAAACGGUGCGGUAAGAGCGCACCAGCGCGCCGGCAACGGCGCGGCUUGGAAAACCCCAUCUGGAGCAAGCGCAAAUAGGAGUGCGAUACGGCCGCCCUUCCGUGCAUUCGGGUUGCGUGCUCGAGGCGCGCGGUGACGCGCGUCCAAGAUAAAUGAUCGUCCUCGACAGAACCCGGCUUACAGGUCCGCUUGC
rnacentral:RNase_P_RNA from 1 species